GAUGAAGAACGUAGCGAAAUGCGAUAAGUAGUGUGAAUUGCAGAAUUCAGUGAAUCAUCGAAUCUUUGAACGCACAUUGCGCCCCUUGGUAUUCCAUGGGGCAUGCCUGUUCGAGCGUCAUUUGUACCUUCAAGCUCUGCUUGGUGUUGGGUGUUUGUCUCGCCUUGCGCGUAGACUCGCCUUAAAACAAUUGGCAGCCGGCGUAUUGAUUUCGGAGCGCAGUACAUCUCGCGCUUUGCACUCAUAACGACGACGUCCAAAAGUACAUUUUUACACUCUUGACCUCGGAUCAGGUAGGGAUACCCGCUGAACUUAAGCAUAUCAAUAAGCGGAGGA
rnacentral:misc_RNA from 1 species